rnacentral:tRNA from 2 species
GGAAGGUAAAGCAUUCUGGUGAAUCUCGCGGACUUCAAAUCCGAGGACGGGGCAGUUGACUGUUUCGUGGGGAGUUCGAUUCUCUCACCUUCUC